rnacentral:rRNA from 2 species
UGGGGAAUCUUGCGCAAUGGGCGAAAGCCUGACGCAGCCAUGCCGCGUGGAUGAUGAAGGUCUUAGGAUUGUAAAAUCCUUUCACCGGGGACGAUAAUGACGGUACCCGGAGAAGAAGCCCCGGCUAACUUCGUGCCAGCAGCCGCGGUAAUACGAAGGGGGCUAGCGUUGCUCGGAAUUACUGGGCGUAAAGGGCGCGUAGGCGGACAGUUAAGUUGGGGGUGAAAGCCCGGGGCUCAACCUCGGAAUUGCCUUCAAUACUGGCUGUCUUGAGUACGGGAGAGGUGAGUGGAACUCCGAGUGUAGAGGUGAAAUUCGUAGAUAUUCGGAAGAACACCAGUGGCGAAGGCGACUCACUGGCCCGUUACUGACGCUGAGGCGCGAAAGCGUGGGGAGCAAACA